GUCGGCUCAUCACAUCCUGGGGCUGAAGUCGGUCCCAAGGGUAUGGCUGUUCGCCAUUUAAAGUGGUACGUGAGCUGGGUUUAAAACGUCGUGAGACAGUUUGGUCCCUAUCUGCCGUGGGCGUUGGAAAUUUGAAGGGGGCUGCUCCUAGUACGAGAGGACCGGAGUGGACGAACCUCUGGUGUACCGGUUGUCACGCCAGUGGCAUUGCCGGGUAGCUAAGUUCGGAAGAGAUAACCGCUGAAAGCAUCUAAGCGGGAAACUUGCCUUGAGAUGAGAUUUCCCGGAGCUUUAAGCUCCUUGAAGGGUCGUUCGAGACCAGGACGUUGAUAGGUCAGGUGUGGAAGUGCAGUAAUGCAUUAAGCUAACUGAUACUAAUUGCCCGUACGGCUUGUCCCU
rnacentral:rRNA from 1 species